GACGAACGCUGGCGGCGUGCUUAUCACAUGCAAGUCGAACGAUGAACCCGGAGCUUGCUCCGGCGGAUUAGUGGCGAACGGGUGAGUAACACGUGAGUAACCUGCCCUUGACUCUGGGAUAACUGCGGGAAACUGUAGCUAAUACCGGAUACGACCCUCGGCGGCAUCGCCAGGGGGUGGAAAGAAUUUCGGUCAAGGAUGGACUCGCGGCCUAUCAGCUAGUUGGUGAGGUAACGGCUCACCAAGGCGACGACGGGUAGCCGGCCUGAGAGGGUGACCGGCCACACUGGGACUGAGACACGGCCCAGACUCCUACGGGAGGCAGCAGUGGGGAAUAUUGCACAAUGGGCGCAAGCCUGAAGCAGCAACGCCGCGUGAGGGAUGACGGCCUUCGGGUUGUAAACCUCUUUUAGUAGGGAAGAAGCGAAAGUGACGGUACCUGCAGAAAAAGCACCGGCUAACUACGUGCCAGCCGCCGCGGUAA
rnacentral:rRNA from 1 species